AAUUCCGUCCUUCAAGUUUCUGCUCAAAUAUAACCUUCUCUCUGAGGCCUUCCCUGUACAUCCCGUCCCCUCCCUGCUUUAUCUCUUUCCUCCCUCGGAUCCCUUGAAGCGUCAGCCCCUACUCAUGUGCCUGUUUGACCUCUUCUCCCCUGACCGCAAUGGAUAAGGGUGGGAUUUUUCCAUUUUGUUCAUUGCAGACAAUGGGUAGCACCUAAGAGAUACUCGAUAAUAUUCGGUAAUUGAGUGGAUGAAUGAGCAAGAAGUGAAGUGAGGGCAGUAACAGAACUAAGGAAGCAGAGUGGCCUUAAGGAUCCAGUCAUAUUAUAUGUGUCACCCAGGGUGUGACCAGCGUCCUCACACAGGGCCCCAAACUUGGGCUUUAGUGCUCCGUGGGUGGCACCUUGCAAUUCUUAAUCAUUUCAUCUUCGAAGAACUCCUUUUUUUUCUUUCUUUCUUUUUUUUUUUGUGUGUGUGCUUUACAAAUUUAAACGUGGAGUACGUGUGGGCGGCAGCCAUGGUUCCCGACCUGUCCCAGGGGUUGUUGUGGCUGCCCCAAAGCGUCCCUGGGUCCAGGCUCAUUCUCUGCCUCCAUCGCCCCAAAUGUUCAAAGGCUAAUCCAGCUUUAACCCCUGAGAGAUGGGUGACAGAGGACCAGGCCUCCAGGGUGACUUCAACCCAAGCGUCAAUAGCAGGCGUGGCCCUGGUGAGGGCGCCACACCCUAACGGUAACUUCAAGCCAGACCCUGUGGGCAGCUGCCCACCCUGAUGGUCACUGUAGGUCUUAGCAGUGGCCUCAGUGGCCUCAAAGCUCAGCAGUGGCUGCAGAUUUUGGUGACAAUCAGGAGGCGCCAGGCACUUCAUCCCCCCUCCCUCCAUCCUGGCUGAGCCCCCAGGUCUCCUGAGCCACUAGGUUUUGAGCCAUUCUCCAGGAUCCACUUAAUUAGCCAAGCUCAUUAACUCCCACAGGCUUCUCCUCCCCACCUAAUUAGCUGACUUAAUUAGGGCUUGCAGGCCUGGCUCCACCCAGCCCCCUCCUGCUCCAACCCUGCCCACCUCCUCCCGGCCAAGCCUCCAUCAUCAGGCUGGGAACGGAGGAGGGAGGGGCUGCCCCCCACCCCCGCCACCACCCAGCACAAGGCCUCCUCCCUGUGUCCCUCCCUCCAGUCUCAGGCCAGCACAGAGCCCCUCCGGGCAGCAGCCCGCAGGCAAAGGAGCAGAAAUUGGGAGAGAGAGGUGAAUGGGGAGAGGAAUGGAAGUGAGAUGAAUGGAACCGGGUGAAAGGAGAGGAUGGCUGUGCCGGACAGGCUGGACAGCCCAGUGGUUAAGGACCUGGACAAUGGAGCCUGCCUGGGUUCAAGCCCCAGCUAGCAUGUGAAUCUCGGCAUCUCCUUGCCUCCCUGCAUCUCAGAUACAUAAGGAGAGUACCCAUAGCAGAAAAUUCUUGAUCUUGAUUCUAGAUCUAAACAAGCUAAUAUGUGUAAAACGCUUAAAACUUGGACAGGGGAGUUCCCGUCGUGGCGCAGUGGUUAACGAAUACGACUAGGAACCAUGAGGUUGCGGGUUCGAUCCCUGCCCGUGCUCAGUGGGUUAACGAUCCGGCGUUGCCAUGAGCUGUGGUGUAGGUUGCAGACGCGGCUCGGAUCCCGCGUUGCUGUGGCUCUGGCGUAGGCCGGUGGCUACAGCUCCAAUUCAACCCCUAGCCUGGGAACCUCCAUAUGCCGCGGGAGCGGCCCAAGAAAUAGCAACAAUAACAACAACAACAAC
rnacentral:lncRNA from 1 species